AAUUUCGGGUGAUCGCAGUCUAGCUAGACUAGGCUGAGGAAAGUCCAUGCUCGCACAAGCUGAGAUGCUUGUAGUGUUCGUGCUCAGCAAAACAAUAAGCUGAGGCCUUUAGUAACAACUAAAGUGACGGCAGAAAAAAGGGCUAAUGUGAAAACGAUGCCCGAGUAUUCUUGAAAGUGCCACAGUGACGAAGCAAUCUCGGAAACGUGAUUGGUGGAACGGGUAAACCCCUCGAGCGAGCAACCCAAACAUUUGGUAGGGGCACUUUUCCUAGGGAAUACAACCGAUGGAAGAGGCGUAAUCGCAGACAGAUGAUUACCUCCAGUUAGCGAUUUGCCUGGUCGCUAAUUGAGACAGAACAUGGCUUACAGAA
rnacentral:RNase_P_RNA from 1 species